GACGCUCACUUGUUUAACACGAGACGUAUUUACGUGUUUCAGCGCUCAAAGUUUGUUGUUUCUUCCCACGAAGUGCCUUGGAAACAUUGUCUUUUUACAGAAAACCAAAACAAAACAAAUCAAUACAAGGAAAAGAGAAGCAUCGCGUGGACAUCGGGGGCGGUACCUCCGGAUUGGCAGACCGUGGUAGUGGUUCCUCUCUUUAAGAAGGGGGACCAGAGGGUGUGUUCCAACUAUCGUGGGAUCACACUCCUCAGCCUUCCCGUAGUCCAACUGUUCUGAGUGAAGGGUUCUUGAGGGGUCCUCAUGUGAAGUACAACAUUGACACAAAUAAGGAGAUCAUCGUUGACUUCAGGAAGGACCAGUCCAGCCACGCUCCACUCUUCAUCAACGGCACAGCGGUGGAGAUGGUAAGCAGCACCAAGUUCCUGGGGGUGCAAAUCACUGACAAUAUAACCUGGUCCCUACACACCGGAGCUCUUGUAAAAAGAGCUCAGCAGCGCAUUCACUUUUUGCGUCGGAUGAAAAGAGCACAGCUACCUCCCCCCAUUCUCACCACAUUCUACAGAGGCACUAUAGAGAGCCUGCUAUCUGGAAUGGAGCCUACAAUGCCUCAGACUGGAAGUCGCCCCAGAGAGUGGUGAGGACAGCGGAAAAGAUUAUCAGGACUCCUCUUCCUCCUAUCCAGGAGAUUGCAAAAAGCCGCUGCCUGACCAGGGCUCAGAAAAUCUGCAAAGACUCCUCCCACCCCCACCAAGGACUGUUUUCACUGCUGGACUCUAGGAAGAGGUUCCGCAGCCUCCGUAGCAGAACCUCCAGGUUCUGUAACAGCUUCUUCCCUCAGGCCGUAAGACUCUUGAACGCAUCAUAAUGAAAUGUUCCCAUCAAUUCCCCCCAAAAUGGAUUAACUCGCUGGAAUAAAAAAGACAAUAUAACAUACAUCCAUAAACACGGACACAUGUGAAAAAGUGCAAUAUAUUUAUCUGUACAGUAAUCUAUUUAUCUAUAUCUGCACCUUAUCGCUUUUUUUAUUAUUUUUUUUUUUUUAUCCUGCACUACC